rnacentral:rRNA from 1 species
CCUACGGGAGGCAGCAGCCGCGGUAAUACGUAGGUGGCAAGCGUUAUCCGGAUUUAUUGGGCGUAAAGGGAACGCAGGCGGUCUUUUAAGUCUGAUGUGAAAGCCUUCGGCUUAACCGGAGUAGUGCAUUGGAAACUGGGAGACUUGAGUGCAGAAGAGGAGAGUGGAACUCCAUGUGUAGCGGUGAAAUGCGUAGAUAUAUGGAAGAACACCAGUGGCGAAAGCGGCUCUCUGGUCUGCAACUGACGCUGAGGCUCGAAAGCAUGGGUAGCGAACAGGAUUAGAUACCCGGGUAGUCCAUAGAU